rnacentral:snoRNA from 1 species
CCCUUCCGGACUCCUUAUGCCUUGGCUCUAAACAUUGGUCUGUGUGGCUACAAAACAGGAGGAAAAGUAAAAUUGAAGUGGACUGUAUUCUUUGACAUACAAGUUCAUUUCACACAUAA